CAGUAGCCACGGUAAUACGAAGGGUGCAAGCGUUACUCGGAAUUACUGGGCGUAAAGCGUGCGUAGGUGGUGGUUUAAGUCCGUUGUGAAAGCCCUGGGCUCAACCUGGGAGUUGCAGUGGAUACUGGGUCACUAGAGUGUGGUAGAGGAUAGUGGAAUUUCCGGUGUAGCAGUGAAAUGCGUAGAGAUCGGAAGGAACAUCUGUGGCGAAUGCGACUAUCUGGGCCAACACUGACACUGAGGCACGAAAGCGUGGGGAGCAAACAGGAUUAGAUACCCCCGUAGUCCCUGUCUCUUAUAC
rnacentral:rRNA from 1 species